rnacentral:lncRNA from 1 species
CUAUUUGCCUCUGCAUAUUUAGAAAUAAAUAGUCACUACUGUUGCUCUUUUCGCUCCAUUCCUCAAAAAAAAUAAACAAUGUCAUGUCAAGUCAUCAAUUCGUAGAACAAUCUGGUCUGAGAUUGUUGCAGCAUAUUGUUGUUUUCUAGCGUGGGUGUAGCGUCAACAUGUUGAUUCAUACAAUGGAAAUAGCCAUCAUGAAAUUGUUGCAGCAUAUUGCUGUUUUCUAGAAAGCUUACUCCAGCUAACAUCUGUGCCACAUUAUAACUUCUAGCUGAAUCCUA